UGACCUCGGAUUAGGUAGGAAUACCUAUUGAAUUUAAAUAUAUUAAUAAGCAAAGGAAAAGAAACUAAUAGGAAUUACCUUAAUAAUAGCAAAUAAAGUAGCAAUAAUUCAAAUUUGAAAUCUAAUUUUAGCCUAAAUUGUAAUUUAUAGAGGAAGCUUUUAGUAAAGCACCUUUUAAAUCCCCUAGAAUAGGGUACUAUAGAGGGUAAGAGUCUUAUAUAGUUGGAUGCUAAUUUAAUAUAAAGCUCUUUCAAUAAAUUGAGUAAUUUGGGAAUACUAUUUAAAAUAGGAGGUAAAUUUCUUCUAAAGUUAAAUACCGGCUAGAGACUAAUAGUAUAUAAGUAGAAUAAUUGAAAGAUGAAAAGUAUUUUAAAAAGAGGGUUAAAUAGUAUAUAAAAUUAUUAAAAGGGAAGUAUUUGUAAUUAGACUUAUACUAUUCCAAUUAUCCGGUAUUUUUACUAAUAUAUUUAGGAUAAUUUAAACUAAUAUUAGUUUUAGUAGGGGGAUAAAGGUCCGGAGAAUAUAACUCCUCUAAGAAUAUUAUAGCCUUAAGUAUAAUGCCUUCGCCGGGACUAAGGUUCGUAUAUUUAUAAGGAUAUUAGUAUAAUAGUUAUUAAUAACCUAUUUUAAAAUACAAAUUAAAGAAUUAAGGUUUUAUACAAAUAUUUAAGUAUAAAACCCGUACGUAUAAUAAAAGUGAAUGUAGGUAAGAGUUUCGGUAUAUUAUUAACCGAUUUUAAUAUAUUUAAAUAGAUUUAAAUAAGAGUAUUAAACUUUAGACCCGAAAGAUAGUAAAUUAUACUUAGAUAGGGUGAAGCUAGAGGAAAUUUUAAUAGAGGUUCGUAGCGGUUUUGACGUGCAAAUUAAUUAUUAAAUCUAAGUAUAGGGGCGAAAAAUUAAUUGAAUUAUUUAGUAGUUAGUUAUUACCGAAGUUUCCUUUAAGAUAGUAGUAUUAUUCUUUAAUUUUAUAAGGUAAAGCAAAUAAUUAGGGAUUUAGGGGCGCUUUUUAGCCUUUAUUUAUUCUUAAAUUUUAAAUAUAUAAGAAGCCUUUAUUAUUUAAUUGAAUAUAAGUAUUCGAAUAUACUAAUACUAAUAGGCUAUUUUUAGUAAAUAGAAUUAGCGAUAUAGAAUAAACCGAACGCGGGGUUAAAGUAUUAGAGUAGACGUUUAUUAAAUACUAUAAAAAGUAUUAAUAUAUUUUAAUAGUAAGAUAGUAGCUAUAGAAGUUGGAAUUUACUAAGGAUUGUAUAAUAAUUUACUUACUAAAUAUAUUAGCUUUGAAAAUAAAUAGCGUUUAAGUAUCCUACUUAUACCCCGCCCUUAGGGUAGAAAUAAUGCCUUAAAGAGUAGGCGGUUGUAAAGGUUAGUAACGAAGCUUAGGGCGUAAGCCCGGAUUGAAUAGCCUCUAGUAUAAAUUUUAAUAGUAAUAGUAAAUACUUUAAUAAGAAUUUGAAGGACCGAAGUAGGGAAAGGUUCUAUAUAAAUAGUGGUUAGAUAUAAAUUAGUUAAUCCUAAACUAUAGGGAAAUUCCAUUUUAAAGGGGCACUUAUACCCUAUAUAGCGAAAGGGAAGCCGGUUAAUAUUCUAACACUUAAAUAUAAAUUUUACGUAGCAACGUAAUUGAAUGUAAAAAUAACGGCGGGGGCCCCGGGUAGAAUUCUCUUUUCUUCUUAACGGUCUAUUACUUUAAAAAUAGUUUAUUUAGAAAUAGGGUUUAAUAGCUAAAAGAGUCUAAUACUUCUAUUAGGUCUAAUAUAUUUUUAAUAUCCCUUAAAAAUCUACGGGAGGGAAUAAUUCUUAUACUAGGUUGUACUUAUAACUAUAGUAGGUCUCUAAAGUGAAUAGCCUUUAAUUAAUAGAAUAAUAUAAAUAAAGGAAGUUAGUAAAAUAGAUCUAUAAUUUUAGGAAAAGGAUUAGUUCUAAGGGUUGGGUAUAUCGGGCUUUAGGUAAACGCCCUAGGAGUAGAUUACUAUUAAUUAAGUAAUUAGCCGGUAGCUUUCAAUAUCCGGAUAUAGAAGCCUUUAGUAGACUUCGGUCGUCCAGCGUAUAUUUAAUAAUUAAUUUAGAAUUAGUACGGAUAAGGGGAAUUUAAUUAUUUAAUUAAAAUAUAGUAUUGUAAUAGCUAGAAAGUAGUAUUAAUGCAAUAUAAUUUUUACUUAGUACUCUAAAUAUUAAAGUAAAGAAAUUUAAUUAAGUGCGGGUAAACAGCGGGAGUAACUAUAAUUUUCUUAAAGUAAUUAAAUACCUUAUUAUUUAAUUAAUAAUACGUAUAAAUAAAUUAACAAAAUUCCUACUAUCCCUAUUUACUAUUUAGCGAAAUUAUAAUUAAGGGAACGGGUUUAGUAGAAUUAGCGGGGAAAGAAGACUCUAUUAAAUUUAAUUUUAAUUUAAUAUUAUAAAAAGAUAUAAGAGGUAUAGAAUAGGUAGGAGCUUUAGCGCCGGUAAAAUACUACUAUUCCUAUUGUUUUUUUACUUAUUUAAUUAAGCGGGGUUAGAUUUUCGUCCAACUUCUAAUUUUAAGGUCCUUCGCGGGCCGACCCGGGUUAAAAAUAUUAUUAGGUAGAGAAUUUAACUAAGGCGGUAUAUUUAUUAAACUAUAAUAUAGGUAUCCUAAGGGGGGCUUAUAGAGAAUAGAAAUUUCUAGUAGAAUAAAAGGGUAAAAGUCCCCUUAAUUUUAAUUUUUAAUAUAAAUACAAACUAUAAAAGUAUAGCCUAUUAAUCCUUUAGUCCUUUGAAAUUUAAGGUUAAAGGUAUUAGAAAAAUUACUAUAGGGAUAAUUAGUUUGUAGCAGUUAAGUAUUUAUAGCAAUAUUACUUUUUAAUCCUUCAAUAUUAGUUCUUCCUAUUAUAUUAAAGUAGAAUUCAAUAAGCAUUAGAUUAUUUACUUAUUAAUAGGGAAUAUAAAUUGGAUUUAGACUAUUAUAAGAUAGAUUAAUUUUACUUUACUAAUAACUUUAUUACAAUAAUAAUUAAAUUUAGUAUAAAAAGAACCGCUUAUUUAAAUAAUUAGUUUUUACAGUUAUCCGACCGGGUAAUACUAUAAUACUACUAUUUGCUAGAUAAUAGCUGAACGCCUCUAAAUUAGAAUCUAUAUUAGAAUACAAUAAUACUUCUAGUAUAUUGUAAAUGUAUAAAAAUAGGCUCUAGCUUCGUAUUUUAAUAAGUAAUUCCUUUAUUAGUUUUAAAGUAGUUAGCGGUAAUUUACGUAUUAUAAUUUUAAUAUACGUUAAAUCAAAUCCUUUACAAACAAUUUAAAUAUGCGAAAGGGUCUUAUAAAUAGUAGAAUAACCUUAUUAUUAUAAUUUAUUAAGGGUAAACCCUCCUUUGCCUAAAUUUCC
rfam:Neurospora crassa OR74A unplaced genomic scaffold supercont12.9, whole genome shotgun sequence.